AGCAUCUUAUGCCGAAGCUAGGGUUAAACUCCACCAAGCUGAGUAUUCAUCAGACUUGACAGACACAGAAAAUAUCUCAAGAAAAAAAAAGGCCAAGUGCAAAAAUCCUCCAGAGUCAACUGAGCACUCAACUGCAAUCAAGUGAGAAUUCAGAUUAUUCAGAGGAGCUUCCACCCACUCCACCAAACCAACUCCUUUGGCCAGCAGUGAGAGAAGUGAGCAAUUACUUCCAAAACCCCACUGCCCAACGAGGCACCAGCCCCACAGCUACAAUUACCAGUCCCACAGCCCGAGGAGUUGCCAGCUCCCCAGCUACAGUUACCAGCCCGACGGCCAGAGGAGUGUCCAGGCCCGCAGCCCGAGGAGUUGCCAGCUCCCCAGCUACAGUUACCAGCCCGAUGGCCCGAGGAGUGUCCAGCCCCACAGACCGAGGAGUUGCCAUCUCCCCAGCUACAGUUACCAGCCCGACGGCCCGAGGAGUGUCCAGCCCCACAGCCCGAGGAGUUGCCAGCUCCCCAGCUACAGUUACCAGCCCGACGGCCCGAGGAGUGUCCAGCCCCACAGCCUGAGGAGUUGCCAGCCCAACUUGUGAAGCCAUGUUCACUAAAAUUCUAACAGUUUUAAAAGAAGUGAAGGAGACACUACGUGUUCAUGGAAAGAUGUUGAAUGCCCUGCUGAAAAAGCAAGACGGAUUAAUGGUAGAGGUUCCUGAAGGAGUGGACUUACCUCUGAAAACCCAGGCUGACCUUGAGGCUCUUGAUCAGAAGCUGGGGGAUCGUAGUGUCAUGUCUGCUGUUGUUGCCAUGGUGGUAGAUGUGGGUGGCGCAAGUAUAGAUGAUGCAACGAGAAGAAUGAUGAAAUACGUCUUUUUAAAUGAGCUGGCAUUGGAGUAGAAUUUGUUUGGCCGUCAUGGGAAAAAAAGUUUAAAGAUUUGCGUAUUUUCAACGUUGUGUAUGAGGCUCUUAAGAACAACCCCCUGACAUCAAAGGUCAACCAGCAAGAAGCUGAGAGAGCACUGUCAAAAUGGUUUACUGGAGCAAGAGACAGAGGAGGACAAAGGGCAUCAAGAAUGCACCAAAAGAUGGCUGCAGUUUAAAUUUGACUGAAAAGGUUAUAAGGUUAUAAGUAGCUGCAUCUAGCUGUUGUAGUUCUUGUAUUUUUUUCUGACAAUCGUGUUCUCAGAUAUGGUGGGUUGGCAGCUUUCCCAAACACUUAUGGCUGGUUCUAAAAUAGUUUUGUGCCUUUGUGACAUAAACAUGACAUGAUGGUUAGUUAAAUAAAGCUGGAUUUUGAACAUAUUUCAGUCUCACUGUGUUCUCUACUGCUUUAAAACUUGUAUGUGUGGUGUUGCUUCUCGUUUAGAUGGAACGCAGAUGAUCCCUAGUUGGGCCACAUGCAUAUGAUUCCUAGUUGGGCCCCACCUACAGCCCGGAAGAUCCUGCAUAAAACCUAAAUGAGUAAGUUGCUUGGGCCAACAUGGAACCCGUGAA